AUUGAACGCUGGCGGCAUGCUUUACACAUGCAAGUCGAACGGCAGCACGGGCUUCGGCCUGGUGGCGAGUGGCGAACGGGUGAGUAAUGCAUCGGAACGUACCGUGUAAUGGGGGAUAACGUAGCGAAAGUUACGCUAAUACCGCAUACGCCCUGAGGGGGAAAGUGGGGGACCGCAAGGCCUCACGUUAUACGAGCGGCCGAUGUCGGAUUAGCUAGUUGGUGGGGUAAAGGCCUACCAAGGCGACGAUCCGUAGCGGGUCUGAGAGGAUGAUCCGCCACACUGGGACUGAGACACGGCCCAGACUCCUACGGGAGGCAGCAGUGGGGAAUUUUGGGACAAUGGGCGCAAGCCUGAUCCAGCCAUGCCGCGUGAGUGAAGAAGGCC
rnacentral:rRNA from 1 species